rnacentral:rRNA from 1 species
GACAGAGGGUGCAAAACGUUUGUUUCGGAAAUUACUGGGCGUAAAAGCGCGUGUAGGCGGCCCAUGCAAAGUCGGAUGUGAAAGCCCCUCGGCUCAACCGGGGGAAGUGCACCCGAAACUGCGUGGCUAGAGUCUCGGAGAGAUCGUGGAAUUCUCGGUGUAGAGGUGAAAAUUCGUAGAUAUCGAGAGGAACACCGUGGCGAAGGCGGCGUCUGGGACGAUGACUGACGUGAGACGCGAAAGCGUGGGGGAGCAAAACAGG